rnacentral:rRNA from 1 species
GCCAGACUCCUACGGGAGGCAGCAGUGGGGAAUAUUGGGCAAUGGGCGCAAGCCUGACCCAGCAACGCCGCGUGAAGGAAGAAGGCUUUCGGGUUGUAAACUUCUUUUGACAGGGAAGAGCAGAAGACGGUACCUGUCGAAUAAGCCACGGCUAACUACGUGCCAGCAGCCGCGGCAAUACGUAGGUGGCAAGCGUUGUCCGGAUUUACUGGGUGUAAAGGGCGUGUAGCCGGGCUUACAAGUCAGAUGUGAGAUCCGGGGGCUCAACCCCCGAACUGCAUUUGAAACUGUAGGUCUUGAGUAUCGGAGAGGCAGGCGGAAUUCCUAGUGUAGCGGUGAAAUGCGUAGAUAUUAGGAGGAACACCAGUGGCGAAGGCGGCCUGCUGGACGACAACUGACGGUGAGGCGCGAAAGCGUGGGGAGCAAACAGGAUUAGAUACCCCCGUA